CGUGUACAGCCGCUGUACCAGACACUAAACUUUUAUCUCGAGUUUGUUAGGUCUUUGUAAGUGUUUCAGAUAAGAAUUAUGGCCGGGACGCUGGUUCGAGUCCUCCUUGUGACUCUGCUGUUGGUGAGUGACGCUUUCUGCAGACAGGCGUUUUGGAGGAAGCGAAGAAGCCCGACCAAUAAAAUGGCAGACCCAGGGCGUCUGACAAAGCUUACUUCUGGAGGAGAUCAAACGGAAAACUCUGCCCGAGGAAAGCGGGAUCUAACAUAUCGAUAUAAUUCGAAAGGCGAGGUGUACCACAAUUAUUACUACAGAAGAACAGAUGCUCCACCUCCAGUCAUUCCAUAAGCAUUGAACAAAUUCUAAAUACAUUUAUAAAUAUACUGUUAAAAUUU